rnacentral:rRNA from 1 species
GACGAACGCUGGCGGCGUGCUUAACACAUGCAAGUCGAACGGAAAGGCCCUGCUUGCAGGGUACUCGCGUGGCGAACGGGUGAGUAACACGUGGGUGAUCUGCCCUGCAAUUCGGGAUAAGUAUGGGAAACUGGGCCUAAUACCGGCCAGGUGCCAUUUUUAGUGUGAUGGUUGGAAAGUUUUUUCGGUGUAGGAUGAGCUCGCGGCCUAUCAGCUUGUUGGUGGGGUAAUGGCCUACCAAGGCGGCGACGGGUAGCCGGCCUGAGAGGGUGGACGGCCACAUUGGGACUGAGAGACGGCCCAGACUCCUACGGGAGGCAGCAGGGGGGAAGAUUGCACAAGGGGCGCAAGCCUGGUGCAGCGACGCCGCGUGGGGGAUGACGGCCUUCGGGUUGUAAACUCCUUUCGCUAGGGACGAAGCUUUUUUUGACGGUACCUAGAUAGGAAGCACCGGCUAACUACGUG